rfam:TPA: Bos taurus chromosome 8, whole genome shotgun sequence.
UCCCUGGCAGUCCAGUGGGUAAGACUCUGCACUUCAAAAGCAGGAGGUGCAGGUUUGAUCCCUGGUCUGGGAA